rnacentral:rRNA from 1 species
AUUGAACGCUGGCGGCAGGCCUAACACAUGCAAGUCGAACGAGUGGCGGACGGGUGAGUAAUGUCUGGGAAACUGCCUGAUGGAGGGGGAUAACUACUGGAAACGGUAGCUAAUACCGCAUACCAUCGGAUGUACCCAGAUGGGAUUCGCUAGUAGGUGGGGUAAAGGCGCACCUAGGCGACGAUCCCUAGCUGGUCUGAGAGGAUGACCAGCCACACUGGAAAUGAGACACGGUCCAGAAUACUGCGGGAGGCAGCAGUGGGGAAUAGUGAACAAGGGGCGCAAGCGUGAUGCAGCCAUGGCGCGUGUAUGAAGAAGGCCUUCGGGUUUGAAAGUACUUGCAGCGGGGAGGCGUGACCCGCAGAAGAAGCACCGGCUAACUCCGUGCCAGCAGCCGCGGUAAUAC